GAUCUUGUGAAGCACUGGUCUGAUCCAAAGAAUAUGAAUUUGGCUAAACAGAAUCAGAAAAACCGCGGUAAACUACUUUUACCUAGCCGUACGGGAUCUCGUAACCUUAUAGUGCACAUUCGGCAAAAAAUGUUACAUAAUGCAAGUAAAAGGGAACCAAACAAAGAGAUGACUCUGCCAGAGAUUUUUGAAGCAUGCCAGAAGAACAAACUUGAAG